GAAGCUAUAGCUCAGUGGUAGAGCGUACGAUUGCAACUUUGAGCCUAAUAUCGUAAUGUCCCGUGUUCGAACCACGGUAGUUUCU